rnacentral:rRNA from 1 species
UACGUAGGGUGCAAGCGUUGUCCGGAAUUAUUGGGCGUAAAGAGCUCGUAGGCGGUUUGUCGCGUCGGCUGUGAAAACCCGAGGCUCAACCUCGGGCCUGCAGUCGAUACGGGCAGACUAGAGUUCGGUAGGGGAGACUGGAAUUCCUGGUGUAGCGGUGAAAUGCGCAGAUAUCAGGAGGAACACCGGUGGCGAAGGCGGGUCUCUGGGCCGAAACUGACGCUGAGGAGCGAAAGCGUGGGGAGCGAACAGG